rnacentral:rRNA from 1 species
AUACGGAGGGGGCUAGCGUUGUUCGGAAUUACUGGGCGUAAAGCGUACGUAGGCGGACUGAUCAGUUGGGGGUGGAAUCCCAGGGCUUAACCCUGGAACUGCCUUCAAUACUGUCAGUCUUGAGAUUGGAAGAGGUGAGUGGAAUUCCUAGUGUAGAGGUGAAAUUCAUAGAUAUUAGGAGGAACACCAGUGGCGAAGGCGGCUCACUGGUCCAAUACUGACGCUGAGGUACGAAAGCGUGGGGAGCAAACAGGAUUAGAAACCCUGGUAGUCC